rnacentral:tRNA from 1 species
GGGGAUAUGGCGGAAUUGACAGACGCAAACGAUUCAAACUCGUUCGGGAAACCAUGUGGGUUUAAAUCCCACUAUCCCUA